rnacentral:rRNA from 1 species
AUGCGAUUCAAAGAUGUAGAGAAAGCAAGGGAAUUUUAUAGUAGAUACGCUGGUUUUGGAAUCAGGAGGACGGGUGGAAAUGACAACCACAAGUAUUUUAUUUGCGCCUUCCAAGGGAUACACACAUCUUCUGUUUCAGAGGCCAACAGAAAGCGAAACAAAACAUCGCAGAGGACGGGCUGCAAUGCAAGAAUGAGGGUGAAGGUGCAGGAGGAUGGCACAUGUGUGGAAGUGGACAUUGAGUACAAUCAUAUUCACGAGCUCAUGCAAAUUGAUGACAUGCUGGUAUUUUUGCACUCACACAAGAAUUAUGACCCCACUAUUUUGGAGUACGUAAAGCUCCUGCAGUACCAUGAUGUCAAGCACACAACAAUCAUGUCCAUGCUAUCUGAAAAUGAAGAUGGAACCUACUUCCUCAGCAUGACCGGACGAGACCUGCUAAACCAGUAA